AAUUUCUCCACUGGCCUUUGGCAAAGAAUGAUUGUUGUUCCUUCUUUUGUUUAUAAUCCUGCGUAAUCUUAUGUAAGAUUAUAUCUCCUCGUUCAUCAGUAUUAUGUUUAAAAAAUCUAUUAUGAGGGACUUAUUUUUUUUUACCAAGUGUUUAUUUGUUCUGUAAUUGCGUUAUUAAUAAGAAAAGAAAAGUUUUGCCUGUUCUAGUUUAUUGGGAAGCAAAACCUUGGUUAGAG